rnacentral:rRNA from 1 species
ACGAACGCUAGCGGGAUGCUUCAAACAUGCAAGUCGCACGCGAAAGGGGGCAACUCCAAGUAGAGUGGCGCACGGGUGAGUAACACGUAGCUAACGUACCCUCACGCUGGGGAUAACUCCGGGAAACCGGAGCUAAUACCGAAUGAACUGUCGAGGUCUGCGGACUUCGCCGGGAAAGCCGUAAGGCGCGUGAGGAUCGGGCUGCGUCCGAUUAGCUUGUUGGUAGGGUAACGGCCUACCAAGGCGACGAUCGGUAGCUGGUCUGGGAGGACGACCAGCCACACUGGAACUGAAGCACGGUCCAGACUCCCACGGGAGGCAGCAGUUGGGAAUUUUGCACAAUGGAGGAAACUCUGAUGCAGCAAUCCCGCGUGAGUGAUGAAGGCCUUCGGGUCGUAAAGCUCUUUUAGCAGGGAAAAAGGGUAACUUGAUGGUACCUGCAGAAAAAGCACCGGCUAACUACGU